CUCUCUCACCUCCUCCCCGUUCCUCACCUUUCUUCCCCCCGCUCCCUGUGAAAGGCCCUGGGACUUGCCGCACAAGCUGUGUCCCCUGAGGGUGGCCCUCAUUGGUCCUCUCGGCUCCUGCCAGCUGUCCCCAAAUCAGUUCUCCAAAAUACCAUUGGGACACAUACCCAGGCUGCUUGGUGAAAAGACAGCUGCCAGGGCCACACCCGGUCCUUUAAUAUCAGAUGCCAGGCCCAGGAACCUGCAUUUUAAACGCCUGCCCGGGCGAUUCUUGGAAUUAAACAGACGUUGGAGCAAAACAAAACAAAAAGGUCAAAAGAAAAAACAGUGAAAGGUAAGUGUUCCUCCCAUCCCGGACACCCAGGCCCUUCCCCAGGGCAGCGUCCGUUACCGAUUUCUUGUGUGUCCGACCGGAAAGAACCCACGAACGGAAGAGGACGUUCACUCGCAGGCCCCCCCACAGCCCGGCUCUGUUCUGCGGACGGAACAUAUUUCCACUGCUCACUGAGCUUAGCAAUGUCUCCUGCAGGCUGGGCCGGACCUGAGCCCUGGGGGUGGGCUUGCUGGACGCUCCCUCCUGGGAUCACUUUCCAAAUAACCGACUUGUGCCCCCGGGUCACCUCCUGGAGGAACCCGAUCGAAGACGGUCCGUGGCCCGGAGGGACUCACAGCAGAGACUGCCUCAAGCUGACGCCGAAGAACGGAGUGGAGGGCGUCACCCCCUCACUGCUCAGGGAGGUUCCAGGGGCUCAGCCACCUGGCAGGUCGACCUGCCCGUGUCCCUGACGACUACCGACGGGCGCAGGCUGUGACACAGCUGUGUUCUUCCGGGUAGCUAUGUUCUACUAGACAAACAUCGCCCCCAGACAGGAGGGGGGAAGGACGAGGGUGUGGUCAGUGGAAGAACGGAGCAGGCCAGGGAGGCGGAGAUUUUCUGGGGGGCUUCUGAUGAGGGGGGACAGACGCUGUUCCGCGUGGGAGUGACUGGUGGUGAAAGGAGGGCGAUUAAAAACAAGCCGCGGGCGCCUGGGGGGCUCGGUCGGUUGAGCGUGCAACGCUUGGUUUUUCUGCUCAGGUCAUGAUCGCACGGUUCGUGAGAUCAAGCCCCGCAUCAGGCUCAGC